CAUUCCUUCUCCCUUGCUGAAACAUCCAGCCGGUGCCUUUGUGGCCUCUUGGGCUGGGUUGCAAUCUCAUGCCAACCCGCUUGCCGGUUGUCAGGAGGCCUCUGGGGAGGACGCUGCAGGAGCCUCAAACGCCACCUACUCCCGGCCUCUCUCCCGGUUGAUGUUUCUAUUUUGGGCACCACAUUAUUUCCUGCUGUGAUUUUUUUUUUCAGGCUUCUAAUUCAGGCUCUGAGGAAUGGGAGUCCAACGCUUCCGUGUCCGAAGUCUGUUUAACUAUAUUUGGACAAUGACCCUUUAGAGAUGCUGAUAAAGGCUACACAGAAUCCCAGAAACUGUCCACAACAAACUCACAGACAAAAUGGUAAAGCUCCCGGGAGUCUCACCCAUCCCAGUCCAUGGGGGUGACUUUAGCUGAGACUCCUAGCAGUGAGGAUAUGGAGCCUGUUGUGCUUGUAGACAGGAGCCUAGCAUAACUCCUCUGACAGCUACCCAGCAGCUGACUGAAACAGAUGCUGAGUCCCACAGUCAAACAUUAAAUGGAGCUUGGGGACUCUUGUGGAAGAGUUGUGGGAAGGAUUGCAGGCCCUGAAGGAAAUAGGAACUCUACAAGAAGACCAACAAAGUCAACUAACCUGGACCACUAGGGGCUCCCAGAAACUGAACCAUCAACCAAAGAGCAUACACAGGCUGGACCUAGGCCUCCUUGCACAUAUGGAACAGAUAUGUAGCUUGGUCUUCAUGUGGAUCUCCCAACAACUGGAGCAAGGGCUGUCCCUGAAUCUGUUGCCUGCCUGUGGGUCCUGUUCCCUUAACUAGGCUGCCUUGUCUGGCCUCAGUGGGAAAGGAUGUGCCUAGCCCUGCAAAGACUUGAUGUACCUAGGUUGGGGGAUAACCGAGGGAAGAGGGAGGGUUCCAUCUUCUCAGAGGAAAAGGGGAUGGGGGACUGUGUGAAGGAGGUACGGGGAGAGGGGAGCAGCAAUUGGGAUGUAAAGUGAAUAAAUAUAUAUAUCAAUGAAUAAGUAGGAAAAACGAUCAAGUUCCUCACAUGGCUGAAAGUGAAAGAGGCAGCGUCUUUUAAAAGGUCUUGGUCACUGGAGGUUUUUUUUUGCUUUUGAAUCACAUGCACCUUGUCUGCUGUUGCCUUUAUGAACAUGUAACAUCCAAUAAAUUUUGUUUUUUAAAUCU
rnacentral:lncRNA from 1 species